rfam:TPA: Bos taurus chromosome 12, whole genome shotgun sequence.
CCCUGGUGGCUCAGAAGGUAAAGAAUCUGCCUGCAAUGCAGGAGACCCAGGUUCCAUCCCUGGAUCCGGAA